rnacentral:rRNA from 1 species
GUCUGUUGGAAUACAGCGGCAUAGUGGUGAGACCCCCGUAUAUGGUGCGGACGCCCAGCGCUUUGUGAUACAUUUUCGAAGAGUCGAGUUGUUUGGGAAUGCAGCUCAAAUUGGGUGGUAAAUUCCAUCUAAAGCUAAAUAUUGGCGAGAGACCGAUAGCGAACAAGUACCGUGAGGGAAAGAUGAAAAGCACUUUGGAAAGAGAGUUAACAGUACGUGAAAUUGUUGGAAGGGAAACGCUUGAAGUCAGACUUGCUUGCCGAGCAAUCGGUUUGCAGGCCAGCAUCAGUUUUCCGGGAUGGAUAAUGGUAGAGAGAAGGUAGCAGUUUCGGCUGUGUUAUAGCUCUCUGCUGGAUACAUCUUGGGGGACUGAGGAACGCAGUGUGCCUUUGGCGGGGGUUUCGACCUCUUCACACUUAGGAUGCUGGUGGAAUGGCUUUAAACGACCCGUCUU